UCAAGAUCACCUUAAGUUUUUCAAAAAGAGCACAAUGACUCUUUAGUGAAGCGAACACACAAGCAUGUAAUAAGGAGAAAAGAUAUUGAAAACCAGUUGCAUGGCAACGAGAACGGUAAACAAGAACACAGAGAGAUCGCUAGGUCAAGUCUAAACAGUGAGGUUGUAAUACUCAAGUCUCUUCUGGAAAGGCUUUGAUCAGAGAUCUUUUGGGUGAUUAUCAGGAGAGAGAAAAAAAUAGUAGCGAACAAGGUGCAUGAAAUGCAGACAAGUGGAUGGUCUGCAGAAAUGGCACAACACAGGAGGAGAGCCUGCACAUCCCAGAUCCAGAGAAACUGCGGGCGCUUCACCGAGUCUCACAGCUCUGGCUGUCUCCUGGGAGUGCUGUGUCCUGUGUCACCCCUGGAGGUGGGAAGGAGGACGGCAGCCUGGGAAGAACAGGGGUGCCUCCUCUGUGGAUUCCAAGCCUCUCAGGGUGUCGUCCGCAGGGCCUCCCUGACCCAGCUCGACGCUUCCCCCUCUGUGAUCUGCACCUCUGUCCUGCUCACCGGGCAGCUCGCCCACUGCACUCGGAGGCAGCUGGAAGACAAACUCCGCAGUGGGGAAAUCUGCCUCUCCUCCUGGCCUGUCUCCAAGGCCCCUGCCAUGCAGACACAGGCUCCUGAAGAGAGCCGCCCCCAGCUUGUGGCCAGCCUUGCUCCCCAGAGCCCUUCACAGGGCUACUUCUCCAGAAUAACAGACCUGCAGCACAAACUCUACACAGGACAGAGCCCCCCCAGACUGCUGCCAUGGAGACAGAGCACUCCGGCCUCCCCAGGACCAGGCCAGCCAAUCAAGUGCCACUCUGCAGACUGGAGGCGGGACCCCAGCCCAGUGGGGAGCUGGUUCUGUGGCUCUCCUGAGCCAGCUGCCCUCUUCCCCCCUCUCCUCAGCACCUGGAUGCAAAGAGACGCCAGAAGCCGCCCCUUCAGGAGCUACUGACCAAAACCAUGUCAGGUAAAUUUUACUGUGUAUCCAGCACCUGAAGACCACAUAUCCACAGGUACUGAAAACACGCACCCCGCAAUAAACCUGCAAAGACAAUUGUUCGAUAUCUCUGAUGUUGUCUUUUACAAGACAUAUGCAUAAGGCAAGGAAGAAAUCUGUUUCUAGCUGAAGGAAUUACCAGAGGUGGCACCAUCAAAAGAGGAUAAGCUGUCCUUGUGUCUUUGUUCCAUCUGGGCCCCCUACUUUACGGUAUGUCUUAUCUUAAAAGCACAGCACCAAGGAGACACUGCUUUUAUUGACAAGCCUGUUAAAGGGCAAGGAAACGAGAUCAUGGCUGGACCUCUGAAAUCAGUAGGUAGUCGAUCCCUGCAGAGAGGAGAGGGCUGGAAGCAUUUGGGAUGAGUGAAGAGUGAAGACUCCUGGCCAUUAACACAUGUCAGCCCUCAGCCCAGGGUCCUGGGGAACCCCACAUCUGCUGGGCUGUGCUCCACCUGCACGCUCACAAACAACUGAUCACAUUGACCUCCAAAGACCAAAUUGCGGGAUUUCAUUUGAACUAUAUCAUUGUUUUCAGUUCCUUAACCUGAUGGAGGUUUCCUUAUACAGUAGCUGCUGUGUUUCAUAAGUAACUGAAGAUCCCCAAUCUUCGAGCAGAAGAGGUUAAUUCGAUUAAGGACGCAGUGAAGUAAAGAACUCACCUGCUGCGAAAAGUAGGAGGUGUGGGGGUCCCCAGGACGAGGGCAGGGAACCCCAGCUUUAAACUCAUUUUUUGAAAAUGAGAGCUAUCACUUAAAAAGAGGCCCACACAGGUUCAGGGGUGGACUGAGCGCUGAGAUUGUGAAAUACAUUUUCCAAACUAAUGUCUGAAAUAUGGACCAUAAAUAAGCUUAGUACUUUAUGUGUAUAAUACAAGAUCACAGAGAAAGAAAACUGCUUGUGGUAACAGGGGAUUUCUGCUGCAUCUCUGUUUCUCCCCCUGUCCAGCUCACACAGCAAACACCUGGAUACUGCUGAUCCUCUGUGCUCAAAGGUGGUAAAUGUGUUUUAAAUCCUCCUUCAUCAGAAACAUAAUGGCUUUAGGCCCUGUUUCAAUUAUGGGCUUCAGAUUUUAAUUUUCCAUCAAUCUUUUUUUGAAUAUUUGUAGAUUCUGUGAUUUUAAUUACAAAUAGUUUCUUGUAAAUUACAAUUGGUUUGAAACUCCAUUCUUUUCUAUGUGUAGUAUAGUCUUUGCUAUUUUAAUACUGUAUUUCACCUGUGUUGCCAAUGUUAUGUCACAUUCUGUUUGUUAACCUGUGCUUUGCUGUGAGUCAGCUUAGGUAAAGGUGUCUGCAAAGCAGAGUACUUGCAACAAGGAGGAAGAAUGUUACUUAAAGGUCAGAACUUUGACAAAGGAUGUCUCAGUUUGACACAGACCAGGAAAUGAGGAGCUGCAAGGUCUGAAACAUGCAUUCUGAAAUGCACUUCUGAAGUUUUGUGGUGCAAAGAUCAACCACAGCAAUUUUGAGAACAUUAGCCCAGUUUACAACUCCUGUCUCUUAUCACAUCAAAAGAUUUCCGACAGGAUGCUCAUCAUGACUAAAUGAAGUGUCCUCACAGUGCUCCUUCUGUAGCACUCAUAUUCAUAUUAACAGUUAGAAAGUGUGGUUACAUUGUUCAGGCAAAGCAAGUCAUGGUUUCUGGCCAUGUGUUUCGGCACCCAAGCUUCUUACCAAAUUAAAGGAACCCCAUCAUGCCUCUGUUUUCAGUGUGAGUAAGGAAUGCGCUAGCAGAACUCUGCAGCAAGAAGACAGCUGCCUGCUGUAACUCGGCAACAGGUUCAUGGGAUGCUCUGUACUGGCCAAGGUUCACAGUGACAAAUUCAAAUUCUGAAAAACGUCUUGUGUUUUUUAUAAACACUUCUGUUUUUUUUAACCAGAUCUGGCCUACUAUGAAUACGGUACACCAGUCUAAUCAAUGAAUCCUUCUAUGAGUUCCCUUAACUUCAAAAAGAGACAAACAUUUGUUGUUUUUUUCAGUGCUGCUAUUUGUUUUCAGAAUAAACAUUUUGUCUGGGCCGUGCGUAUUAUAUUUUGUCAUACUUCUGUCUGUUGAAUGACGUGAGUGCAAAUAGGGCUAUCUGUGUGCUGUAAAACAAAUCCUUUUCACAGCCCCAGCUCUGCAUUAAGAUAGGACUUGCUCCCGUGGGUGUUGUGAUUGAGGUACUUCUCCUCGUCCAGCCCUGUUGUUGUCACUGUCUGCAGCAGCGAUGACUCAGUGAGGUUUCAGUUGCUCCACGGCAUGGACCUGCUGCCUGUGCUUUCGAUGUUGGGUUUGACUGUAAUCCUCCUGCCAAAGGCCUAAGCCCUUGGCCAAUAGGCAAGGUGCCUUCAUCUCCCUGCUCAACCAAGCCUCUGAGGAGUAGACGCAAAACCAAAGAACAACCGAACAGAAAAAAAGCUGCAAUACCAGUUGUGACAUAAAUAAGUCAGCUGUCUCCUCCCAAAUAUUCAUUUUUUACCACACAGUUAUAAAACCA